AUUGAACGCUGGCUGCAGGCCUAACACAUGCAAGUCGAGCGAGUGGCGGACGGGUGAGUAAUGUCUGGGAAACGGCCUGAUGGAGGAGGAUAACUACUGGAAACGGUAGCUAAUACCUCCUACCAUCUGCUGUGCCCAGAUGGGAUUAGCUAGUAGGCGGGGUAAUGGCUCACCUUGGCGGCGAUCCCUAUCUGAUCUGCCAGGAUGACCAGCAACACUGGAACUGUGCCACGGUCCAGCCGCCUACGGGAGGCAGCAGUUGGUAAUAUUGCACAAUGGGCGCAAGCCUGAGGCAGCGACGCCGCGUGUGUUAAGAAGGCCUUCGGGUGGUAAAGGACUUUCAGCGAGGAGGCUUUUCUCGCAGAAGAAGCACCGGCUAACUCCGUGCCAGCAGCCGCGGUAAUUC
rnacentral:rRNA from 1 species